GGGUCAGUAGGUUGUUCGUGCCACCGGUACGUACUGGUCUCACUGAUUCCUCCUUCCUGAAGAACCGUAACGCCAUUAAUUUGGUGUUGCGGGGAAACAGGACUGUUACUUUGAAAAAAUUAGAGUGUUUAAAGCAAGCUAACGCUUGAAUACAUUAGCAUGGAAUAAUGAAAUAGGACGAUCGAUCCUAUUUUGUUGGCUUCUAGGAUUGACGUA
rnacentral:rRNA from 1 species